GGCGGUGGGCGGUGGGGGCUAGUCGCUUCGUCUUGCCCUCCUCCGAACCCCCCAACUCCGCCUGCCUCGGGUCCGGGCUGUGGCCCUGCAAGGGGGCGGACGAGGCGACCCUAGCGGGAUGGGAAAGUGUGGGGUUCCCAUCCGCUGCCUUGGGGAAGGCCUGAUUUUUUUUGGGGGGGGGGGACAGGGCUCCUCAGUCCUGAAACCCUAACCCCCCCGCCCCGAGGUGCAAAUCCGGAGUUGCCUCCUCCAGCUCUGCGCAGAGCGAGCUCAGAAUAUCCCGUGACUCAGUUUAGGGUCCAGAGGUGCAACGCAGCUCCUCCCCACCCGCCUGAAAGCGCAGCUGUUUCCGGGAGGGGGGGCGCGGGCGGCUGGUCCCCUUAGAACAGGAGUUCUCAAAACUUUUUUUCCUUGGGCCGCACUUUCACCAAAAAAAAAAAAAAAAAAUAAAUCUGCUAGCGCCACGCUGAACUUUUUCGUCGCAGAACGAAAAGAAAGAAUUAUAACACAGGGACACAACUGCUUUAUGAUACCAUCGCAGACGGGACGUCCAGAAAGGAUGAAAUAACGCAGCCACACAAGGACACGAAUUUUUCCCAAAAUAUCAUAUUGAUGGUCCGCCGCUCUUGCCAUUCUCUCCUGCCCCCCCCCUCGAGAACCGCUGCGUUCAGCACUUGCAGCAAAAAAAUCACCUGGCGAUGCCUUGAGCCCCUUUGUUUCUGCACAGAUUUUCACAGGUGCCCUAAGUUUUAUCCUGAGUUACAGGACUGGACGCCACAAAGCGAAGAAACUCGCACACUCUAGGACUGAUGCCGGCAGAAGGGGGUUCUUUUUUGGACGCGUGCAGACUGCUUCCUUCGCCCCCAUCCUACCCUCCCCCCCCCCGGCUUGCUCUCCGGAAACCCGCCCUGGUGGACCCUUUCAGGUACAGCUUUAGAUGGUCAUGGACUUACACAAGUAGGUAUCGAUACAGCAUGCUCAAAGCCUCCCCCUCCCCAACUUGUUUCUGGGUGCGGGUGCCUGUGGAGCUCAAGGUGCCCCACGCCUGGGUGCUGGAAGGAACGGCUUGGGGCGCGGGAAGAGUUUGUGGUAAGGCAGUUUGUGGUCAGAAACCUCUCUGUCUCUCUUUCUGCUGCCCCGGCCUCCUCCAUCUCAGCCAGGGAAUCUUUUUGUUCUGGACAGAACUCCGUGGGGAGAGGGGGCGGCGGAGGCAGCAGCAGCAGAGAGCCUCUGGACCCCCAGCGCUUGAGGGGGAGGAGUGUGGAUUUUGUGGCAAUUUUCUCUCUUCCACCUGAUUUAAGGCGGUAUAAACCUCAGCCAGGCUCUGGAGCCAAAAGUCUGCCCCAAGGGGCCGGAAACACCCCCCCCCCCGGCUGAACUGAACACAAGUGAACUGGGUUAAUUUAGGUCCGUGAGAAUAAGUCCUCUCCUCUCCUCUCGGAGUACUUGAGGGCAAAUACUCCUCCAUGUUUGUGGCUUCUCAGCCGCCCUGAAUUUCCACACGCCUUUCUUUGAACGGGGUUGGCAGCCAGGAAAUUGGGAUGGGGGGCACUUCUGUGAGCAGUUUCUGGGUCGCACCUUUUACCCUGUGACUUCCCCCUCCGCUUUUGGUAGGCUAAAUAUUGGAUGAGCAAAGAAGGGCAAGGUUUUUAGCAGCUACGUUAGGUUUCCAAAACAUGUCUGUGUUUUAAAGGGUGGGUUGGACUAGAUGACCCUUGGGGUCCCUUCCAGCUCUACAAUUCUAGGAUUCUGCUAUUCUUCUUGUUGCAGAGAAAAGGGGUGUUAUCUCUGUAUCCAGCAGUGUGAGGAGCUUUUGCAUUGCUCGGAGCCUCACUCUAGACCAGGGAUUCCCAAACAUGGAUUUUGGACUGUUUUUUGGACUACAAUCCCUUCCACUAGUCUUGCCAGCUAGUUACGGUGGGAAUUGUAGUCCAAAACCAGCUGGGAGACCCAAGUUUGGGAAAGACCAGUCUAGGCUUUUGCUAGAUUAAACCACUCCCUGCUGCCCUGCUCAGGGUGCAGGAUCAGGUCCUCUUGGGUCCUCGCUUUCAGUGCCACCUGGUGGCCUUCAUUAUCACAAACACCUGGGGAGAUGUGGCCACAAUUAUUCAUUCCUCUCUCUCUCUCCCCCCUCUCCAUUGUUUGCUGGGGCUCCUCUCUUGAGUGUGCUGUAAAACUGUGCAUGUGCGUAGCCACGGGGUGGGGUGGGGCAGCUGUCCUCCCUAAAUCAAGCAAAUCAAUAAAAAUACUUAACUA